UCUAAUGAUUCAAGUCUCACUCGAGUAAGACAUGUAAGUAAGUGCCGCACAUCUACCUGCAGCUCUGGUUGCUUCCCUUAAAUGACCACAAGAUUUCAGCUUUGAGCUGGUGCGUGAAUUGUGUUUAAUGUCUAACAUUGAAUCAUCGUUCUCUCCUCCCUCUUCACAACUUGGUUUUAGAUGUUUCUCUCCUGUGACCUCCUCAACCCUCUCACUGCUCCUUUCAGAGACAUUAGUUUGUGCUCAGCAGCACAUAUGUGAUGGUCUUAAACCUCAAUCACAAACAGCCUCUCGUCUUUAUUCUCUGCACAUCCGCUCUGAGGCCACGCUGACCAAGUUUGUGCUGCAAAAUGGAAUGGUGGGCUUCAGGGCCAAGGCUAUAAGAAGAGGAGUCCAGGUCCCUUUGUUAUCCUCUCAUCAGUCCAUCUCACAGCAGGUGAAGGAGGGCCUAAUGACGCUCUCCAAGGAUGGCGGUCUUGAGGAGAGGGAGGGGGUAAAGCUGGCAUACCAGGAAGAAGCACCCCGAACGCCACAGAGGAGGUAGCCAAGAAAAAGCAGAGACAAUGGUGUCCCCACUAGAGAGACGAGUGAGAAGGAGCUCUUUCUCUCAAGACUCUUCAUGUGCCCUCUCACUUCAACCUCUCUCUUCUUCUGCGCCUCACCUCUCCACCUACACCCAUCCUCCCUUUUCUUGCUACUUUCCCCUGGAGCAGGUUGGUAAUUGUCAC